rnacentral:rRNA from 1 species
CGGAGACGCGGGAGUGCCUUCGGGAACUGUAAGACAGGUGCUGCAUGGCUGUCGUCAGCUCGUGUUGUGAAAUGUUGGGUUAAGUCCCGCAACGAGCGCAACCCUUAUCCUUGUUUGCCAGCGAGUAAUGUCGGGAACUCCAGGGAGACUGCCGGUGAUAAACCGGAGGAAGGUGGGGACGACGUCAAGUCAUCAUGGCCCUUACGAGUAGGGCUACACACGUGCUACAAUGGCGCAUACAGAGGGCGGCGAGCUAGCGAUAGUGAGCGAAUCCCAAAAAGUGCGUCGUAGUCCGGAUUGGAGUCUGCAACUCGACUCCAUGAAGUCGGAAUCGCUAGUAAUCGUGGAUCAGAAUGCCACGGUGAAUACGUUCCCGGGCCUUGUACACACCGCCCGUCACACCAUGGGAGUGGGCUGCAAAAGAAGCAGGUAGUUUAACCUUCGGGAGGACGCUUGCCACUUUGUGGUUCAUGACUGGGAAAGUCGUAACAAGGUAACCACUUUCCC